rnacentral:rRNA from 1 species
UGACGAGCGGCGGACGGGUGAGUAAUGUCUGGGAAACUGCCUGAUGGAGGGGGAUAACUACUGGAAACGGUAGCUAAUACCGCAUAACGUCGCAAGACCAAAGUGGGGGACCUUCGGGCCUCAUGCCAUCAGAUGUGCCCAGAUGGGAUUAGCUAGUAGGUGGGGUAAUGGCUCACCUAGGCGACGAUCCCUAGCUGGUCUGAGAGGAUGACCAGCCACACUGGAACUGAGACACGGUCCAGACUCCUACGGGAGGCAGCAGUGGGGAAUAUUGCACAAUGGGCGCAAGCCUGAUGCAGCCAUGCCGCGUGUAUGAAGAAGGCCUUCGGGUUGUAAAGUACUUUCAGCGAGGAGGAA